CGCCAUCCUUAGCAGCACACAGAGAAGAAAUUUGGCGGUUCUUUUUGGUAACUAGGAUCCAGAAGUGAAUCUUUGAAAAGUAAAGGCGUACCUUAGACAUCCUAGUAGUCCUAGUAGUUGUAAAAGUUCGAAGGAGGGGUCCUAGUAUAUAUUCAGUCAGGAAGGACCAGACGAGGCAGUGCCGCCAUUACGGGCCACAGCGCCAUCCUACGGAAGUGCCGCCAUUACGGGCCACAGCGCCAUCCUUAGUAGCACACAGUG